AAAUAAGAAGCAAAAUUUGCAAUUAGUUUCGACCUAACAAUUUGAUGAUACCAAUUCAUCCUUAUUUU
rnacentral:tRNA from 1 species